rnacentral:rRNA from 1 species
AGUCGUAACAAGGUUUCCGUAGGUGAACCUGCGGAAGGAUCAUCAUUGAAUCUAUAAUUACAAACCUUUGUGAAUCAUAUGUAUUAGAGUAUGUUUGGCAGGAAGAUGCUUGGGUGGCUGUUUGCUGCUCGUGCUCGCGUCUCUUCUUUGUGCUUUGCGCAAGGCUGAGUGCCUGCCAGCAUGCUCGUCUUUUAACAAACUUUUUUAAUUAUAUACUGAUAAAACAUUUUUAAUAAAAACAACUUUCAACAAUGGAUCUCUUGGCUCUCGCAUCGAUGAAGAACGCAGCGAAUUGCGAAAAGUAAUGUGAAUUGCAGAAUUUCGUGAAUCAUCGAAUCUUUGAACGCAUCUUGCACUUUCUGGUCCUCCAGAAAGUAUGCCUGUUUGAGUAUCAUGUACACCACUCAUUCUGUUGAAGGGCGUUGUAUUUACUACAGCGCCUUGCAGCAGCAAUGGAACUGAGCAUCCAGUGUGUUUGCGCAGCUCGGGCCGGCAGUUUUCUGCUUGCUUGCGUUGCGUCGAUGCGUUAAAGCUGGUUGCUUGAAAUGUAGCGUUGUUGUGCUUGGCACUGUUUCGUACUAGCGUAUUAGUUCAUUUCGAUUUUCUACGCACUCAUGGUACAAACGCAGCUUGCAGCAGCGAUAUACCCCUCCAUAGAGUAUGCAUUGGCAGUUGACAAUUCAUCUCCAACUAUUGAUCUCAAAUCAGGCAAGAUUACCCGCUGAAUUUAAGCAUAUUAAUAAGCGGAGGAAAAGAAACUACAAGGAUUCCCCUAGUAACGGCGAGUGAAGCGGGAACAGCUCAUCUUUAAAAUCUGGGCGGCUAGGCUGCUCCGAAUUGUAGUAUGUAGAAGCGUUUUCAGCGACGGUUCUGGUUCAAGUUCCCUGGAAAGGGGCAUCAGAGAGGGUGAUAAUCCCGUCUUUGAUCAGAACGUCUGAAGCUAUACGAUGCGCUUUCUUAGAGUCGGGUUGUUUGGGAAUGCAGCCCAAAACGGGUGGUAAAUUCCAUCUAAAGCUAAAUAUUGGCGAGAGACCGAUAGCGAACAAGUACCGUGAGGGAAAGAUGAAAAGAACUUUGAAAAGAGAGUUAAACAGUACGUGAAAUUGUUGAAAGGGAAACGCUUGAAGCCAAGCGGGCCGUCUACGUUAAGCUAGCCUCGGCUGGUGUAUUUUAGACGGCUGGCCAACAUCAGUUUGGCUGGCUGGAAAAAGGGCGUGGAAAGGUAGGUGUGCUUCGGCGCACUGUUUAUAGUCCACGUUCAAUACAGCCGGCUGGAUUGAGGACUGCAGCGCGACCCUUUUGGGCAGCAUGCCUGGUUGCUGCGACGCGGGAUUUUGUAGACAGCAUGCUGACUGCAAAAUGCUAACGAAGCACUCAGCCAGAGCAUGGCACUCGCGCUUUGGAUGUUGGUGAAAGGGCUUUAAACGACC